AAAUUUUGGGCAAGAAAAUCUUUCGUCGCAAAAUAUUGUCCUUAAAUGAAAUUAUUUCACAACUAGAAGAAGAUGACGAUGUAUUGUCCGCAGAUAUAUACAUAACGCCACCGGAAAAUAACGAUAAGAGCGACGAAGAUAGCGGCGAUGAGGAAUCUGCUAAUAUAAACAAUUUGUCAAGAUGCCAGCUAUUAGCGGAAGCUGAAUUUCGAGCAACAGUAGCAUCUCAUAAUGAAUUGGGCACAGUUGAAGACCUUCUGAAUGACUCAGUCGUAGAUGAAA